rnacentral:rRNA from 1 species
GCAAGUCGAACGGUAACAGGGAAAAGCUUGCUUUUCCGCUGACGAGUGGCGCACGGGUGCGUAACGCAUAUACAAUCUACCUUACACUGGGGGAUAGCCUUUAGAAAUGAAGAUUAAUACCCCAUGGCAUUAUAAACCGGCAUCGGUUUAUAAUUAAAGUUUCGGCGGUAGGAGAUGAGUAUGCGUUCUAUUAGCUAGUAGGUGUGGUAACGGCACACCUAGGCAACGAUAGAUAGGGGCCCUGAGAGGGGGAUC